GACGAACGCUGGCGGCGUGCUUAACACAUGCAAGUCGAACGGAAAGGCCCUGCUUUUGUGGGGUGCUCGAGUGGCGAACGGGUGAGUAACACGUGAGUAACCUGCCCUUGACUUUGGGAUAACUUCAGGAAACUGGGGCUAAUACCGGAUAGGAGCUCCUGCUGCAUGGUGGGGGUUGGAAAGUUUCGGCGGUUGGGGAUGGACUCGCGGCUUAUCAGCUUGUUGGUGGGGUAGUGGCUUACCAAGGCUUUGACGGGUAGCCGGCCUGAGAGGGUGACCGGCCAAAUUGGGACUGGGAUACGGCCCAGACUCCUACGGGAGGCAGCAGUGGGGAAUGUUGCACAAUGGGCGGAAGCCUGAUGCAGCAACGCCACGUGCGGGAUGACAGCCUGCGGGUUGUAAACCGUUUUCGCCUGUGACGAAGCGUGAGUGACGGUAAUGGGUAAAGAAGCACCGGCUAACUACGUG
rnacentral:rRNA from 1 species